AGUGAAUAGAUACCCCGGUAGUCCACGCUGUAAACGAUGAGUGCUGGACGUUGGCGGGUUUACCUGCCGGUGUCGCAGCUAAACGCGUUAAGCACUCCGCCUGGGGAGUACGGCCGCAAGGUUAAAACUCAAAGGAAUUGACGGGGGCCCGCACAAGCGGUGGAGCAUGUGGUUUAAUUCGACGCAACGCGCAGAACCUUACCAGCCCUUGACAUGGGCGGACGGGGUCCAGAGAUGGACUCUUUCUCGCAAGAGACGCUACACGGGUGCUGCAUGGCUGUCGUCAGCUCGUGUCGUGAGAUG
rnacentral:rRNA from 1 species